rnacentral:rRNA from 1 species
UACGUAGGGUGCGAGCGUUGUCCGGAAUUAUUGGGCGUAAAGAGCUCGUAGGCGGUUUGUCGCGUCGGCCGUGAAAACUUGGGGCUUAACUCCAAGCUUGCGGUCGAUACGGGCGGACUAGAGUUCGGUAGGGGAGACUGGAAUUCCUGGUGUAGCGGUGAAAUGCGCAGAUAUCAGGAGGAACACCGGUGGCGAAGGCGGGUCUCUGGGCAACAACUGACGCUGAGGAGCGAAAGCGUGGGGAGCGAACAGG